rnacentral:rRNA from 1 species
GCACUUUAAGCAGUGAAGAAGACUCUUCGGUUAAUACCCGGAGACGAUGACAUUAGCUGCAGAAUAAGCACCGGCUAACUCUGUGCCAGCAGCCGCGGUAAUACAGAGGGUGCAAGCGUUAAUCGGAAUUACUGGGCGUAAAGCGAGCGUAGGUGGCUUGAUAAGUCAGAUGUGAAAUCCCCGGGCUUAACCUGGGAACUGCAUCUGAUACUGUUAGGCUAGAGUAGGUGAGAGGAAGGUAGAAUUCCAGGUGUAGCGGUGAAAUGCGUAGAGAUCUGGAGGAAUACCGAUGGCGAAGGCAGCCUUCUGGCAUCAUACUGACACUGAGGCUCGAAAGCGUGGGUAGCAAACAGGAUUAGAUACCCUGGUAGUCCACGCCGUAAACGAUGUCUACUAGUCGUUGG